GGGAUUGUCUCAAUAACAAUAAGAUAAAUUUUGUUCUAAUGAUCUUGAGACAUGUUCAUGUUCUUCCUAUUUCGAGACUGAAUAGAAAAUCGACCUAAAAUACACAUUUUCAACCAUACAAACCACUCCUAAUUGUAACUAAAACUUGCCCAAACAUUUCACCAAUGUAAUUUCGUAAAUUCAUCUCAUGCAAACCUCACCAAACGCCAUCAACUCAUAGCAACCAAUACAUCAAGGCUUAUCCUCCUAGUUAACUCAUUCAAGCUUUUAUAAACCAAAAUGUAUAAAUACUAAUUCAAGGAUAAAAUUAUUAUAGGCCAAACACCAAGGGUACCAAAAUACCAACUUAAACACUAAACCAAACAACCUAAUGUCAUAUCAAACAAACAUAUAUAUAUAUGCACACACAAAAUAGGCAACAACUUGUUUUCAAGCUGAGCGGGAUGCUUGACGACUUCUCAUUUACUGCAACUCUCAUUCAAAACCUGUGCACAUAAACAAACAUAAUCGGUGGCUAAGUGUUAAAUAAUCAGUAGUGUUAAUAUAAUUUAAAUUCAAUAAAUUAAUGCACAAUAAUUAUUACUUUUCACUCUUUUCUUAUUUAUCAAAAGUCUAUAAUCAUAUAUUUCUCCAACUUUUUUGAUUCUCUCUCUCUUUAUGCGUAUUCAAUUUUUCAUAAUUUCAUGUCAUAAUAUAUCUGAUACUCAACAUGUCAUUUCUUAAUCGAGGAUAGACAUCAAAACAAAUUUUUAGAUCUAUAUAACGAGUAGGCCCAUAAACAUUUGAAAGUUGAGGCUACUAAAUCUAAAUGUCAAUAUAUGUCCACAACCCUCUAAAAAUUAAGAUUACCCACGACCUUCUAGAAAUUGGAUUACUCAUGACCUCUGAAAAUUAGAGCUAAUAAAUCAUUGAUAUUAAUAACUGUAUGACAUACUAACUAUACUUAAACUGCGUUUACCAUCAUUUAAUGGGACAUUUACAACAUAAUUAUCAUUAUAACACAUAUCAUCAUAGUAUCAAGAUUUCAAUACUUAUAUACAUAAAGCACGAUUUCAACUAUUCAUUACUUGAUUUAACUACCACAAUGCUGAAUUCAUCAUUUGGAGUUUGAAAGGAAAGAUACCAUUACUUCGACAUGUAUUCAUAUUCGUUAAUAAUGACUAGCUAAUCUACGAAUGCAUAAUUGAAAGUGAACUAUAAUAGCACAAACCAAAAACGACUAUCCAUCAACAACUUUGAUUUUCCCUUUGUCCCAAGAUAGUUCUACGCUGUCUUUAGCUAUAAAAUAAACUUGAAUACAAAAAUUCAUUAAUCACAUAAUUCGAAACAUAAAUCAACACAAUUUAUAUAUGGAUGCGUAUUAUUUAUUUUAGACCUGAUAAGCUCUAAUAUUUGAAAUGCUUGUAUUCUCUAUUCUCUUUAUCAAAUUUAAAACCGAUUUCAUAUUUCUUCAUUAGGAACCUCUAAUUUUUAAUCCAUAACAUGAUUUUCUAAUAACUUUCAAUUUAUUUAAUUAAGUCACUAAUAUCAUAAAAUUAACUAUAGAAAUUAAUUGGAUUUUUAAUAAAAUCCAACACUUUUCUCUACUUUCCAAUUUAGUAUUAGCAUAAUCUAAUCUCUUUAUUCAUAAACCCAUCUCUACCGAGCUUAAUUUCAUUAAUAGUCAUUAAUGACAACUUGAUUGAAACUUAACAAUGAAAAAUCGAACACAUUUGCAUGAAUUAUCAAACUUAGAUGAUCAAAAUCCUAUAAAAGAACAUAAAAGGAAACCUUUCUCAUCUUCAUUAAUUUGGACCGAAUGCAAAAUGGAAGUUUUCUUCUUUAUUUUGCUACGGUUUGGAGAGAAAGGGAAUAAAAAAUAAUGUUUAUUUUCUCUAUCCCACUAAAGGUUAUAUAUAUAUGUAUGAUUAGUGAUUUAAUUAAAUUAAUGAAUCACUAAUCUAUCACUAAUCAUGUCUUGUAAUGUCGACUAAUGAAUAAUAGUGGUGAAAGCCAUGGAAUUUCACUACCAUAAUAUUAGUUAUGGAAUAUUUAUUUCCAAGUACUUGGUUAUUAGCUUAUUAAGGACUUGUAAAAUUUCUAAUCAAUUUUGUAUUCAUUUUAAUCACUAUCCAAUUUAAUAUUUGCACCAUUUAUACUAACUUAAUUGAUUUAAUUAUUAACUAAUUAUGUUUCUCAAUCCCGUAUUCAAUUCAUAAUUUUCUCGAUUUAACUUUUCGAAUAGUUCGAAUUAAAAUUUUCGUUCCAAAAUUUAUUAUUCUUUAACACUUAUGAAAAUCGGACCGUUAGAAAUAACAGAAUUUAAACUAUAAUAAUAUAAUAAUAAUAUUGUAAUUGUUAUAAAAUAAAUAGACAAAAAAUAAACAAUAAAAAAAUGAGAGAAUAAGGAAAAAAUAUAUUUUAUUGAUCAAUCGAAUUAUUUACGAAACUUCUCCAAAACUUCUAUUUAUAAACAUAAUAAAUAUAAAUAAAUUAAAUAUCUAUUACUAAUUACUAUUAGAAUUGAAACAACAUCAAAUCUUAUAUUAAUAUUGAUGGGCAUUAACAGUAAUUAAUUAUUAUUCCCUCAAAGUAUUAAUGAAGCACUCUAAAACAAUUUUACCUGUAAAAAUGACUCUUAUUGAGUAUAUUUUCUCCAUUUUCGCAUCUCAAUAAUCCUUUGCAGGUCCUUGUACUUUUCUCUCUUAUUUUGCAAUCUCGUGGUAAGCUUUUGUUGCGCCAGCCCUCCGGUUUUGUUCUGCUUCCUUCCC
rnacentral:lncRNA from 1 species